GACGAACGCUGGCGGCGUGCUUAACACAUGCAAGUCGAACGGAAAGGCCCUGCUUUUGUGGGGUGCUCGAGUGGCGAACGGGUGAGUAACACGUGAGUAACCUGCCCUUGACUUUGGGAUAACUUCAGGAAACUGGGCUAAUACCGGAUAGGAGCUCCUGCUGCAUGGUGGGGGUCGGAAAGUUUCGGCGGUUGGGGAUGGACUCGCGGCUUAUCAGCUUGUUGGUGGGGUAGUGGCUUACCAAGGCUUUGACGGGUAGCCGGCCUGAGAGGGUGACCGGCCACAUUGGGACUGAGAUACGGCCCAGACUCCUACGGGAGGCAGCAGUGGGGAAUAUUGCACAAUGGGCGGAAGCCUGAUGCAGCAACGCCGCGUGCGGGAUGACGGCCUUCGGGUUGUAAACCGCUUUCGCCUGUGACGAAGCGUGAGUGACGGUAAUGGGUAAAGAAGCACCGGCUAACUACGUG
rnacentral:rRNA from 1 species